AGCGUCGCGGAGGACGAGGUCACCGUCACCGCAUCAAGUCCUACGCCGCCGUCGCCGCCGAGAGCCCGAGAAGACCAGCCGCCGCGCCGAGAGGGUUAGGGCCAAGGCCGCCGCUGCCCCUGCCUCUGGGGAGGACAAGAGGGUAGCUGCUUGGACACCUGGGGCCCUACAAAGAGCGCCUGUCGCAUUGCCGGUGAUGGCUGGAGCUGCGGCCGUCGGCGCCGUCGUGGCAGUUAUUGCCGUGGUGAUCUUUCUCCGCCUCAAGAGGUAAACCGGUGAUCUAAUGCACAGGAAGUUUUGCUCUGCUGCGACAGCCUAUGAAAGAUUUGAUGAUUUUUUUUUGGUGAUGAACUGAUGAUGGUAGAGUGCUGGAUGAGAAUAUAUGACUUCUAUGAGCUAGUUGCUUAAUAACCUACAGAAACAUAGGGAUCUGAACACUUGUUAUGUUCCAUUCCUGUUUUUCCUUUUAUCAUUCUACCUGCUUCGGUGGUGAUGCUAAAUGUCUGAAACAAUUUGUGAUGCGUAACUGAGGAACGCCGAAUGGUUG
rnacentral:sRNA from 1 species